GCAGAGACGACGUGACAACCGCGGACACGCGCGCUCAGAGCAUCCUCACCUUGGAGACGCGAGCUUUUGGAGAAGACUUUCAAACACGCGCAGAGCGGCGUUCAGAAGACUUGGGCUCAACAGACCCUCACGCGCACCUCCCGACAGCCACCUUUAGCCCCCCCCUCCCCGCAGAAGACCAGUCUCCUCCCGACCGCUACCUGUAGCCCCGCCGCUCCGUCCCCCCCGGCUCCUCGUGGUAGAACACCGUGUUCCCGUGAUGUCAUACCUGUGGAUCCUGCUCUUAGGGAGCCUGCUCGCGGGCAGCGCCAAGGCACAAGAGGAGACGGCAGAUAUAGAUUCCCCUACUGACACUGCUGUAGAGGAAGAAGCUGUAGAAGAAGAAGCUCCUGCAGAAGAAGAAGAAGCUGUAGAAGAAGAAGCCACUUCAGAAGAAGACGCUACUGCAGAAGAAGAAGGUCCUGCAGAAGAAGAAGCCACUGCAGAAGAAGACGCUACUGCAGAAGAAGAAGCUCCUGCAGAAGAAGAAGCCACUGCAGAAGAAGAAGCCACUGCAGAAGAAGCUCCUGCAGAAGAAGCCACUGCAGAAGAAGCUCCUGCAGAAGAAGCUCCUGCAGAAGAGAAAGCUACUGAGGAAGAAGAAGCUACUGCAGAAGAAGAAGCCACUGCAGAAGAAGAAGCCACAGCAGAAGAAGAGGCUCCUGCAGUAGUAGCAGCUCCUGCAGAAGAAGAGGCUCCUGCUGAGGAAGAGGCUGCUGCUGAAGUCGAAGCUCCUGUAGAAGAAGAAGCUACUACAGAAGCAGCUCCUGCUGAGGAAAAGGAUACUGCAGUAGUAGCAGCUCCUGCAGAAGAGGAAGCCACUACAGAAGAGGCUACUGCAGAAGAAGAAGCUGUCACUGAAGUCGCAGUUAUUGCUGAAGAGGUGGCUCCUGCUGUAGAAGCAGCUGCACCUACUGAUGUCGAAGAAGAGGCUCCAACGCCUGUAGUGGAAGGGGAUACACCAUCUGAGGCUGCAGCUGACGGUGCCAAGCCGAGUGAAGGCGCGGAGGCAGUGGCAACCCCGGAGAAUGUUACGGAGGCUCCUGACGACCUGUUUGACUUGGCAGCUGCACUGGGACCGGUCGACCAGCCGUCACGCAAUGGGAAUAGUCGGAGUGGUGGCUCUGUUCCACACACAUCUGAAUCAUCAGCAGACGGAUCAGUGGAGGGAAAAUCCGCGGGCUCCGGGUCCCUGGCCGGCAUCCUGAGUGCCCUCUGUGUGGCGCUGGUGGGCUCCGUCAGCGGCUACUUCACCUACCAGAAGAAGAAGCUCUGCUUCAAGAACAGAGAAGCUGACCCUGAAGCAGCCCGGAAAGCUGACGCGGCAGCAGUAGCUGAAUCAGACCCCAGGGU
ensembl:lncRNA